rnacentral:rRNA from 1 species
UGGGGAAUCGUUCCGCAAUGGACGAAAGUCUGACGGAGCAACGCCGCGUGAGUGAAGAAGGUUUUCGGAUCGUAAAACUCUGUCUUUUGGGGCGAACGUGAGUAUGGUGAACAAUCAUAGUCAGUGACGGUACCAAAGGAGGAAGCCACGGCUAACUACGUGCCAGCAGCCGCGGUAAUACGUAGGUGGCAAGCGUUGUCCGGAAUUAUUGGGCGUAAAGAGCGCGUAGGCGGGAUAGUCAGUCUGUUGUAAAGUGCGGGGCUCAACCCCGUGAUGGCAAUGGAAACAGCUAUUCUUGAGUGCAGGAGAGGAAAGUGGAAUUCCCAGUGUAGCGGUGAAAUGCGUAGAUAUUGGGAGGAACACCAGUGGCGAAGGCGACUUUCUGGACUGUGUCUGACGCUGAGGCGCGAAAGCCAGGGGAGCGAACGGGAUUAGAUACCCCGGUAGUCCUGGCCGUAAACGAUGGGUACUAGGUGUGGGGGGUAUCGACCCCUUCCGUGCCGGAGUUAACGCAAUAAGUACCCCGCCUGGGGAGUACGGUCGCAAGACUGAAACUUAAAUGAAUUGACGGGGUCAUAGCUGUUUCCUG